UGUGUGGAAAAUGAACUUUUGCCCAGUC
rnacentral:piRNA from 1 species